AAAGAGGUCAUUAUCAUAAAGUGAUAAGAAUUUAUUUGUAAUAAAUAAAUAAACUUAGAGUAAACCUUGGCUAAAAUAAAUACACACAUGUACAGGAUAACAAUCUAAUCACUACACGUGGAAAUGUCUUGGAACGCAUUAACAUCCACAUACAAGGCAAUGCGUUUCCUCUAUUGAAAGUUAAAGAACGUUACUUUUUUGCAUAUUCCAUGUUUUUAUCUUCAAGUGAGAAAGACUAAAUGGUUACUUAUUGUCCAACUUUUGUGCAGUUUAAUGACAGUAGUUGUUGAACCUUCCAUUACAACAAAUGUUUCCUUGGACCCUUGAGAUAAACGCAAGUAGAUCUACCUCUUGGUCUGUGGGGACCAUCCUCUGCAGCAGUUCCACGUUCUCCAGCGAGACCUGCUUCAAGUCCAGAGCGUUGACGGCAGAUAUCACUUUGUCCACUGACAUCUCUAUCUUGCGUCUAGAGAUGGCUGUAACACAGUAAAAUGGCUGUUUACAUGUUCCGACGUGUUGAAUUACAAGGGUGACUGCAACAAUAAGCGAAUGGCUCACCAAUGUUGCGAAGCCUGGUGUGUUCCAGCAGGGAGACGGUCUCGGGUUUCUUGAACCGUUUGCUGGGCUGCGAGGUGAGACCGUCCACCUCGUGUGUGCCG